rnacentral:rRNA from 1 species
GACGAACGCUGGCGGCGUGCCUAAUACAUGCAAGUAGAACGCUGAAGGAGGAGCUUGCUCUUCUGGAUGAGUUGCGAACGGGUGAGUAACGCGUAGGUAACCUGCCUGGUAGCGGGGGAUAACUAUUGGAAACGAUAGCUAAUACCGCAUAAGAGUAGAUGUUGCAUGACAUUUGCUUAAAAGGUGCAAUUGCAUCACUACCAGAUGGACCUGCGUUGUAUUAGCUAGUUGGUGGGGUAACGGCUCACCAAGGCGACGAUACAUAGCCGACCUGAGAGGGUGAUCGGCCACACUGGGACUGAGACACGGCCCAGACUCCUACGGGAGGCAGCAGUAGGGAAUCUUCGGCAAUGGACGGAAGUCUGACCGAGCAACGCCGCGUGAGUGAAGAAGGUUUUCGGAUCGUAAAGCUCUGUUGUAAGAGAAGAACGAGUGUGAGAGUGGAAAGUUCACACUGUGACGGUAUCU